rnacentral:lncRNA from 1 species
ACCUUGCUUCCAGAGUUCUAGUCCUUAGAACUCGACUAGUCCUGUAUCGAUCAGGCUUCUCCAAGAAUCUGACUCGACCCACUUAGAACUUUCUCUGAACUUCUGAAUCUCCUUCUUUAGGACCUUCACAAUCCUUUUCUGGAUCAGAUAAAGCUUUGUCUUAAAUUUCAAAGCCUUGUCCUAAAACUAAAAUAGGUUGUAAGAAAGAAGGGAG